rnacentral:rRNA from 1 species
AUUGAACGCUGGCGGAAUGCUUUACACAUGCAAGUCGAACGGCAGCACGGACUUCGGUCUGGUGGCGAGUGGCGAACGGGUGAGUAAUGUAUCGGAACGUGCCCAGUCGUGGGGGAUAACGUAGUGAAAAUUACGCUAAUACCGCAUACGAUCUAUGGAUGAAAGCGGGGGAUCGCAAGACCUCGCGCGAUUGGAGCGGCCGAUAUCAGAUUAGGUAGUUGGUGGGGUAAAGGCCCACCAAGCCAACGAUCUGUAGCUGGCCUGAGAGGACGACGAGCCACACUGGAACUGAGACACGGUCCAGACUCCUACGGGAGGCAGCAGUGGGGAAUUUUGGACAAUGGGCGAAAGCCUGAUCCAGCCAUUCCGCGUGCAGGAUGAAGGCCCUCGGGCUGUAAACUGCUUUUGUACAGAACGAAAAGGUUUCUACUAAUACUAGGAGCUCAUGACGGUACUGUAGGAAUAAGCACCGGCUAACUACGUGCCAGCCGCCGCCGUAA